AUUGAACGCUGGCGGCAUGCCUUACACAUGCAAGUCGAACGGUAACAGGUCUUCGGAUGCUGACGAGUGGCGAACGGGUGAGUAAUACAUCGGAACGUGCCCGAUCGUGGGGGAUAACGAAGCGAAAGCUUUGCUAAUACCGCAUACGAUCUACGGAUGAAAGCGGGGGAUCUUCGGACCUCGCGCGGACGGAGCGGCCGAUGGCAGAUUAGGUAGUUGAUGGGAUAAAAGCUUACCAAGCCGACGAUCUGUAGCUGGUCUGAGAGGAUGAUCAGCCACACUGGGACUGGGACACGGCCCAGACUCCUACGGGAGGCAGCAGUGGGGAAUUUUGGACAAUGGGCGCAAGCCUGAUCCAGCCAUGCCGCGUGCAGGAUGAAGGCCUUCGGGUUGUAAACUGCUUUUGUACGGAACGAAAAGGUGCCUUCUAAUAAAGGGCGCUCAUGACGGUACCGUAAGAAUAAGCACCGGCUAACUACGUG
rnacentral:rRNA from 1 species